GCAGGACGUCCUCUAAAGCAACUUCCGUGGGUGCCAGGUUGUGGGCUGGGGGCGGUGCUGACCUUGAGAGAGCGGAGGAGGCGCAGGCGCAGCACAGUUUAAACUUGAUUUUGUGAGGGGACGAACAGCGUGACAAUUAAAAGAAGAUCUGGGAAUCGUAAGUACUGACAGAAUACCUGGAGGGAAGGUGGGACUGGAGAAUAGUUUGUGAAACAGAUCCUGCUGAGGAUGAAUCCAGAACUUCCUGAAGGGUUCCGCUUCUGCUGUGUAGGGACAAGGUUGUAAAUAGACAAGCCACAGGCACCUGCAAAUGGUAAGUGUGGUAGAGAGGGGCUGGAAUUGCCUGUUGGUGUAUCUGUGGGAAGCAGCUGCUAUCCUUGAGGAAGAAAAGAUGGAGAAGGUAAGUGGCUAUCAACCUGUCAGAGACAACACAUUCUGUGAAGUUGUACUCUUUCAUUUCUGACACUGUGGUUCUUAAUAUCUGUCCUAAACCUGGCAGUCAUUGAGGUUCGCAAAGUAUCUCCUUCUAUGUGACAGUAAAACUGGAAUUACUAUCAGAAUGGAAUCCAUUCCUGCUAGAGUAAAACCAUGAAAAGAAAUCGCAGUUUUGAUUAUCUGCUUAUCAUUUUUAAUAGAUCACAGAGUGCAGUGUUCCUUAUUUGUUGUAUGGCAAGUUGAUGAAUAACUCUUGAUUAAUAUCUUUUAAUGUUCUGUUUCACACAGUUCUCUCAAUUACAUGUGAAAAAUCUGUUAUAUAAGUAAUGCUAUUUAAUGAUUAAAAUGGAUAUAUGUUUUAAGGUAGUGCCACCCAGUCUUUUUUUUUUGGUAGAAUAAUAUUAUUAUCUAUUGGUUGCCUGCCUUGAAGUACAGUAAUUUCUCUGUUUCCAUUAUUUAAAAUAGGUGAGUGUCUUUGACAAAGAUACAAAGAAAGGGGACAGUUAUGAAAGGGAAGAAAAGAUAGAUGGAGAUGAAAAGAAAUUCAGUAGUUUCAGCAAGGGAAUUAGGAGCAUAAUCUUUGAGAAAAGUCUUGGUUGCUUACCAUUCGGGCUUUGUGAUGAGUUGAAAUGUCCUGAAUGAGAACUGUUCUCAAAUGCUUUCAAGACCAACAAAAAGUACGAUACCCACACUGACCUGGAACUCUUUAAACCAUUAAGAUAUAUCACUUUUUCGCAGUUCAGUCCAUAUUUUUUGCAAAAUGUUCUGCUUAGUUUUUCUGCUAAGAAAUUACUGUUUCUGAACAAGGUUAAGUGUCGUAUGCUUUCAUUGUAGUUUUUUUUCCCCUAACAUAUACUGUUUUCCUAAUUAGACUAUAAAUUCCUCCACAGCUGGGACCUUGUUUUGUUUUCUCGCCUUCCCCAUAACAAAUAUCAUUUAAGUGAAUGUUGUAAACAGUUACUUCAUUUAAAUUGCCCUUAAAAUGCUUUAUGACAAAGACGUUAUUUGUAGUAAUACCUAUAAUGGUAAAAAGUUUGUUGCAGUCUUACAGACGAUAAGAUUGAUCAAUUGUUAUAUAUGCUUAGUGGAAUUUUAUCUAGCUGUUCUAAAGAGCCAUUAGACUAGUCUUUCUAAUGGAAAAUGUUUAUUGUCUAAGUUAAAACAGCAUUUGAGGCCAGGCACAGUGGCUCACUCCUGUUAUUGCAGCACUAUGGGAGGCUGAGGUGGGAGGAUCACUAGAGCACAAGAGUUGGAGACUAGCCUAGGCAAUAUAGUGAGACCUCUUCUCUACAAAAAAUUUAAAAAUUAGCUGAGUGUGAUGGGGUGUGCCCGUAGUUCCAGCUACUCAGGAGACUGAGGUGGGAGGAUCACUUGGGUCCAAGAGGUAGAUGUUGCAGUAAACCAAGAUCAUGCCACUGCACUGCAGCCUGGGCAACAGAGCAAGAUCCUGUCUCAAAAAAUUAAAAAGCAUUUUAUAGACUGCAUGUUUGUGUCCCCCCUCCCUCCGCACCAGAAUUCAUAUAUUGAAGCCUUAAUCUCCAAUGACAUGAUAUUAGUAGGUGGGGCCUUUGGGGGGUGAUUAAAUAAUAAGGGUGAAGCCCUGCAUGGGAUUAGUGCCUUUACAACAAGAGACCCUAGACAGCUUGCUUCCACUCUUUCUUUGCUCUUCACCAUGUGAGGACACAGCAAGAAAACAGACAACUACAAAUCAGGAAGAGGGCCUAAUUUGUGCCAACCAUGCUGGCACUCUUCUCUAACUUCCCAGCCUCCAGAACUGUGAGAAAUAAAUUUCUGUUGUUUAAGUCACCCAGUUUAUGGUAGUUUGGUUAUAGUUGCCCAUAUUAAGACAGCAGGAUGCAAAAUUGUGGCCAGUAUGAUUGCUUUGACAUGAAACAAAUUUUAAGCACAAAUUGCAAAAAGUAACCAAAAUAUAUCAAUCCCCACUGCUGGCAUUAACACUCUAAAACAAACUUUGUAUAUUGGGGGAUUUUAUUUAUUUAUUUAUUUAUUUUUUUUGCUGACCAUAGUGACUCAUGCCUAUAAUCCCAGCACUUUGGGAGGCCGAGUUGGGCAGAUCACUUGAGGCCAGGAAUUCAAGACCAGCCUGGCCAACAUGGCAAAACCCCC
rnacentral:lncRNA from 1 species